rnacentral:rRNA from 1 species
UGGGGAAUUUUGGACAAUGGGCGAAAGCCUGAUCCAGCAAUGCCGCGUGUGUGAAGAAGGCCUUCGGGUUGUAAAGCACUUUUGUCCGGAAAGAAAUCCUUGGCUCUAAUACAGUCGGGGGAUGACGGUACCGGAAGAAUAAGCACCGGCUAACUACGUGCCAGCAGCCGCGGUAAUACGUAGGGUGCAAGCGUUAAUCGGAAUUACUGGGCGUAAAGCGUGCGCAGGCGGUUUGCUAAGACCGAUGUGAAAUCCCCGGGCUCAACCUGGGAACUGCAUUGGUGACUGGCAGGCUAGAGUAUGGCAGAGGGGGGUAGAAUUCCGCGUGUAGCAGUGAAAUGCGUAGAGAUGUGGAGGAAUACCGAUGGCGAAGGCAGCCCCCUGGGCCAAUACUGACGCUCAUGCACGAAAGCGUGGGGAGCAAACAGGAUUAGAUACCCUGGUAGUCCGCGCCCUAAACGAUGUCAACUGUUGUUGGGAUCAUUCCUUAGUAACGUAGCUAACGCGUGAAGUUGACCGCCUGGGGAGUACGGUCGCAAGAUUAAAACUUAAUGAAUUGACGGGGUCAUAGCUG